rnacentral:rRNA from 1 species
ACAGCAGUCGCCACGGUAAUACGAAGGGUGCAAGCGUUAAUCGGAAUUACUGGGCGUAAAGCGUGCGUAGGCGGUGAGUUAAGUCUGCUGUGAAAUCCCCGGGCUCAACCUGGGGAUGGCAGUGGAUACUGGCUCGCUAGAGUGUGUCAGAGGAUGGUGGAAUUCCCGGUGUAGCGGUGAGAUGCGUAGAGAUCGGGAGGAACAUCAGUGGCGAAGGCGGCCAUCUGGGACAACACUGACGCUGAGGCACGAAAGCGUGGGGAGCAAACAGGAUUAGAUACCCCAGUAGUCCCUGUCUCUUAUAC